GGCGAGAUGGCCGAGCGGUCUAAGGCGCCAGUUUAAGGCACUGGUAUCUUCGGAUGCGUGGGUUCGAAUCCCACUCUCGUCA
rfam:Strongyloides papillosus strain LIN genome assembly, scaffold: SPAL_contig0000073